rnacentral:rRNA from 1 species
GUUUAUGGCCAUGAUACCCUGAACAAGCCCAAUCCCAUCUGAUCUCGGAAGCUAAGCAGGGUCGGCCUGCUUAGUACUUGGAUGAGAGACCACCUAGGAAAACCAGGUGCUGUAGGUA